CGAAACGCUGGUGUCUUCCUCCUCGCGUAAGCUUGGUGCAGGCAUGAGCUAGAUUUGGAUGCGUGAGUUACGAGAUCUUCGUGGCAAUAUGGCUGGAGAAAGGUCAUUUUUGUUCUAUGCAUUAAUUACCAGAGGUAAUAACAGCUACUGUGCCUUAGGAAAGGCCAGCGAAGCCAGCCAGCUAAGCUACCCAAGCCUGUGGCAGCGACGCGUGCCGUGCCGGCGGAGGCUGGAACAUCAUCCUAGAAAGAUAACAUCACUGGCGAGUCCGUUGAGGUAGAGAGGAACAAGCUGGUGUUCUUCGAAGGCGAGAUAUUGAGCUUCGAUUUGGAAGAUUUGCUAAGAGCUUCUGCAAAAGUUCUAGGCAAAGGAAGCGUGGGAAUGUCCUACAAGGAGGUGCUAGAAGGAGGAACGACGGUGGUGGCGAAGAGAUUGAAAGAGGUGACUGUAACAAAGAAAGACUUUGAUGCUCAGAUGGAGGUUCUGGGCAAGAUUGAGCACGAGAAUGUUUGUUCCUCUCAGAGCUUACUAUUACUCCAAAGACGAGAAAUUGCUCGUCUAAGAUUAACUCCCAUCUGGCAACUUGUCUGCUCUGCUUCAUGGUACCAUUUUCAACCCUCAUCUCAAUUUUUUCUUCACUCAAUUGAUUUGUUUUCCCCUUUCAAAUUGUUGCUAAUAGAGUUGUUAACAGUUCCACAUUAACAUUAUCAAGGCCAUUCCGGCAUUUAUUAUAUUCAUAGGAAACAUAAAUCCUGAUGUCUGAAUUGGCACUAUCUUCGCUGGCUGUGUCAGAGAAGAUGUUGAUCAAAUUUUCAACUCCCUCCAGCUGUAAAUAAAGAUGGAGAUUGAGAAUAUUAUGAUUUAAUCAAAUUUAACAUAGGAGUGUAGAACAUGAGAAUGUGUGCAUUAACAAAGUCGUGUGUGGAUGAUUGGCGUUGAUAAUGGAGGUAAUUGAAUAUUGUGCUUGCUCAAAAGCAGAGCGUAGUAAGUAUUAUUUAAACUGCUUUUUACCAUAUAACAAUUUUGAUCAAAUUGUGACACUUUCAAGUUUCAACUCAUCUAUAUCGUUGUCGAGUUGUACAGGCAGGAUUAUAUAAACUGCUCCACUUAUGAUUAUUCUGCAUUUAAAAUCCAUGGCCAUAUAAUAAUGCUUUUCUAAUUGGCGGAGAGUACUGGAGCACUGCAAAGAUGCUAAGACGCAACAGAAAGCUGUGGAUGAGAUUUUAGGAGCUGUUAGCCUGUUAGCUCAGGAUCACAAUGGAAAUUAUGUUGUUCAGCAUGUGCUAGAACAUGGGAAGCCACAUGAGCGUUCGGCUAUUAUAAAGGAAUUAGCUAGCAUGAUACUUCAAAUGAGUCAACAGAAGCUCACCUUCAAUUUUGUAGAGAAGUGCUUGACAUUUGGAGAUUCUUCUGAAUGCCAGUUACUAGUGAAUGAGAUGCUUGGCUCCACGGACGAAAAUGAGCCCCUUCAAGUUUAAUUUCUUAAAACAUUUUCUAUUGCUUUUUGAUAAUAUAUAAGUCUUUCCCUUUU